GUGUUUGGCUGAUCUUAAAAAAAUAAUAAUUAGAAGGCAGUAUAAUUGCGUACGUGCAAAGAUGUGCACGUGUUCGCAUUUGCAUAUUAAUUGCAUAUUAAUGUGCUGUCUAGAUUGAAGUAUAUAAAUCUAGUAGUACAUAGUACAUAAGUGUAGUAAAUCUAAUGGUGUUAUGCACACAGGAACACAUGGAGUACACCCCAUGUGCACAGCACAGAGGUUGGAAUCCAGCUUUAACUCAAAGCUACCUUUCAUUAAACUGGGAAAUCCUAAACUCCUUUAAACCGAAAUACUCAGGAAGAAAGUUGCGAAUAAUUAAUAUAAUCCUCAUAUGGAAUACAAGUAGAGGGACCUGAGUGAGGAUGAACAAGAGUAAAGAUAGAUCAACAAAAGCAUAUGAGGCAUACAUGCGUUAUAUGUACAACUGAUUUGCAUGCAUGAAUAUAUGGAUUAUGGAACAGCUGUCAGGAUUGAUAUGAUAGCAGACCUUUGUAUCAGAAGGAGGUUUUUCUCUGUUUCCUUUUUUGCUGUUAUACAUUGAUUAAAAUCCCAUGUAGAUGCUGUAAUAGGAAAUCAAUUUCCUUGUUUUGUGGUUACAUUUUCUUAUAAUAGA